CUUAAUGACCUGUACAGACUACACGAUUUUUGUCAUUCACGAUUAUCUUUUACGAUUGACCAUGUCAGAAUACUGGUCACAUUACAAGAUAAUCUAUUGUAGCCAUCCGUGUUAACAUGGAAGUCGUAGGAGAUUCCGCAAAAAUUCUGACAUGCUAGACUUUGAGACAUUCCACAAUGUAAUGACCCAAGACAAAAAAUCGUUGGUUGUUGAAUAGAUCACAUUACAAGCGUCAUUCCCGACUUAACAUUCGGACAUAUCAAUUUGGAAAUUUGUCGGCCACAACACAAUUGUUGCAAAAUCGGGCAGAAAUCGUGUAGUCUGUUACAGGCCAUUACUUGCUGUCAAGCUGUAUCAAGACCACAAAUCUCAGCAUGUUAUGUAGGUCUUUUUUGGUUGUUUCAGUUUUUCUUUUUUUUCUCUCUCUCAAAUGAGGAACUAUUAACUCAGCUCUCUGAUAAGCUUUCUAAGCUAUGCAGACGACUAUGUUCGAACACUGAUGUGGAGCAACUUGAGUCAACACAAGUUAUACAAAGACUGACUUGAGCAUAUAUUUAAAACCUUACUUGGUGACUGUGGUUCCUCAGCCUGUAGCUCAAGUAAACUCACUCAACAAAGGGAACGUCGGUACAUGAUUAACCUUUCCAUGGUUCUAACAGACUGUUUUUGUCUUUGUCUUCCUUCCCUCUACAGGAUGCGUUGAUGACGACUGAAGAAAGCUGUGUAUGACCUUAAAACUGGCCUAGUAACCCAUUGGUUGUUUCAGUAGAAAUAGAAUGAGUAUUUGAAAGAAAGAAAGGAAAAUGACUGCAAGAAUGACUGAAACGGCUCCAGUAGAGUGGACGACGACCGUGACGACAUUGAUGCACCAGUGGUGCAGAGAAUGAUGGGUGGGUCUACGAAGAAAAAGGACAAAGAACGGCUCCGUUUGAGGGGCAGCAGACCGUGAUGACGUUGAUGCACCUGAUGUAGUGGUGUCCAAGAAGUACGUCUGGCAAAGGAGAUCCACUCCAAGGCCGAGCCCUUCAAGAACGGCUCCGUUGGAGAGGCAGCAAACCGUGACUACAUUGAUGCACCUGAUGCAGUGGUGUCCAAGAAGUACGUCUCCCAAGAAGCUGGCAAAGGAGAUCCACUCCAAGGCCGAGCCCUUCAAGAACGGCUCCGUUGGAGAGGCAGCAGACCGUGACUACAUCGAUGCACCUGAUGUUGUGGUGUCCAAGAAGUACGUCUGGCAAAGGAGAUCCACUCCAAGGCCGAGCCCUUCAAGAACGGUUCCGUUUGAGAGGCAGCAGACCGUGACUACAUUGAUGCACCUGAUGUAGUGAGAAUGAGUGGGUCUACGAAGAAAGAGAAGGCCAAAGAAAACGGCUCCGUUUGAGAGGAAGCAGACUGUGACUAUUGAUACACCUGAUGUAGUGGUGUCCAAGAAGUACGUCUGGCAAAGGAGAUCCACUCCAAGGCUGAGCCCUUCAAGAACGGUUCCGUUUGAGAGGCAGCAGACCGUGACUACCAUGAUGCACCUGAUGUAUUUGUGUCCAAGAAGUACGUCUGGCAAAGGAGAUCGACUCCAAGGCCGAGCCCUUCAAGUGGCUGAAGGAGGCUGAGGGAGAACACUAAAUGCACUUUUUUUGUUGCACUCGUGUCUUGCUAUUAAAAAAAAUAAAUUGACAUUAAAUGUGA